GAUGAACGCUGGCGGCGUGCCUAAUACAUGCAAGUCGAGCGAACGGACGAGAAGCUUGCUUCUCUGAUGUUAGCGGCGGACGGGUGAGUAACACGUGGAUAACCUACCUAUAAGACUGGGAUAACUUCGGGAAACCGGAGCUAAUACCGGAUAAUAUUUUGAACCGCAUGGUUCAAAAGUGAAAGACGGUCUUGCUGUCACUUAUAGAUGGAUCCGCGCUGCAUUAGCUAGUUGGUAAGGUAACGGCUUACCAAGGCAACGAUGCAUAGCCGACCUGAGAGGGUGAUCGGCCACACUGGAACUGAGACACGGUCCAGACCCCUACGGGAGGCAGCAGUAGGGAAUCUUCCGCAAUGGGCGAAAGCCUGACGGAGCAACGCCGCGUGAGUGAUGAAGGUCUUCGGAUCGUAAAACUCUGUUAUUAGGGAAGAACAUAUGUGUAAGUAACUGUGCACAUCUUGACGGUACCUAAUCAGAAAGCCACGGCUAACUACGUGCCAGCAGCCGCGGUAAUACGUAGGUGGCAAGCGUUAUCCGGAAUUAUUGGGCGUAAAGCGCGCGUAGGCGGUUUUUUAAGUCUGAUGUGAAAGCCCACGGCUCAACCGUGGAGGGUCAUUGGAAACUGGAAAACUUGAGUGCAGAAGAGGAAAGUGGAAUUCCAUGUGUAGCGGUGAAAUGCGCAGAGAUAUGGAGGAACACCAGUGGCGAAGGCGACUUUCUGGUCUGUAACUGACGCUGAUGUGCGAAAGCGUGGGGACCAAACAGGAUUAGAUACCCUGGUAGUCCACGCCGUAAACGAUGAGUGCUAAGUGUUAGGGGGUUUCCGCCCCUUAGUGCUGCAGCUAACGCAUUAAGCACUCCGCCUGGGGAGUACGACCGCAAGGUUGAAACUCAAAGGAAUUGACGGGGACCCGCACAAGCGGUGGAGCAUGUGGUUUAAUUCGAAGCAACGCGAAGAACCUUACCAAAUCUUGACAUCCUUUGACAACUCUAGAGAUAGAGCUUUCCCCUUCGGGGGACAAAGUGACAGGUGGUGCAUGGUUGUCGUCAGCUCGUGUCGUGAGAUGUUGGGUUAGGUCCCGCAACGAGCGCAACCCUUAAGCUUAGUUGCCAUCAUUAAGUUGGGCACUCUAAGUUGACUGCCGGUGACAAACCGGAGGAAGGUGGGGAUGACGUCAAAUCAUCAUGCCCCUUAUGAUUUGGGCUACACACGUGCUACAAUGGACAAUACAAAGGGCAGCGAAACCGUGAGGUCAAGCAAAUCCCAUAAAGUUGUUCUCAGUUCGGAUUGUAGUCUGCAACUCGACUACAUGAAGCUGGAAUCGCUAGUAAUCGUAGAUCAGCAUGCUACGGUGAAUACGUUCCCGGGUCU
rnacentral:rRNA from 1 species